UUGGUUAAAUUCACUGGCGGAGGAGCCCAGUGGGCAAGGUGUGGCAGCCGCCACACCUUGAUUUCCACCAAAUUUUUAUAUAUAUAUAUAUAUAAGCAUAUACUUUUCUUGAUGGAAAUAUUGCUUGUUAGUUUUAGACCACGCUAGAUCGAUUCACCCAAACAAAGCUAGAUGAAGCACGUAAGUUAGAUUGGAAGCACACAAGCAGGCAGCUUGAUUGAUGUGUUGUCCAGCACAUGCCCAUCUCACUAUGUAGACAGCACAUGCCCAUCUCACUACGUACGCGAACCAGCUCGCUUCCGCUGCACAACGAUUGGAUCGAUUCUCUCCGCGGCUCGCUCCUGAUGGAACUCGUGACUAAGCGAUCCAAAAACAGAAUGGAUAAAUUUUUGUUGAUGCGUGCAACAUGUAUUUUUUUUCUUAUGACAUAUAUAAUAGUACAUGAUUGACUUCCGCCAGCCCGCCCGCGGGCGAUUUUUGCCCUGAGACGCGCCGCCGUCGCCCGUCGGCCCAUCCCCGACCCCGCCGUCGGCAGCGCAAUCGUAUUCCCCGCCAACCUGCCGAUUUGAGUCUGCUAUGCUGAUGAUGGCCUGCCUCCGCCGCCGGCGAUUUGUGCCCAACAACACCGCGGCCCCCGCCCGUCCAUCCAUCCCUAACACCGUCUCGACCCGCGGCCUAUCGAAUUGGCUAUUAUGUUUUUGCAUCAAUUUUUUAUUGAGGGGGCAUCAAUUUUGUCUAGUUGACAGUUUGCCACACCUUAAUUUUUUUCCGUCCUCCGCCUCUGGUUAAAUUAAUGUGUCUUUCGUCAGCUUAGAUGUAACAGCUCAUUGUUUCUUUCUCUGAAUAUGUGUACAUUCAGAAGCAACUAUGAACAACAGUUUCGUUCUUUGAAUUAUGCGUAUUUUUAGGAUCAGAUGCUUAAAUAUCAGAUGAUGAUUCUACAUAGAUACACUGGCUUUUGUAUGACCUGAAUAGAAGCAAAUGAAUAUCAUCAAUUCUGAUGUUAAGGAAAGUAAAACAGAGACGCCAGUUAUUAACAUGGGCAGAAAGAGUAGUUCUUGGCAUCUUCCUCUCCCUCCUCACUUAUUACGAUUGAGUAGCUGUUGUCAAAGGCCAAUUAUAUCUGUGAUGCUAUGUCGACUUAGAUCUGGAUGUUGGUAGUUACCUAGAUGUAGGAGGAAACAAGAAAGACCACGCUACAACACUAAGUGGUGUAAUUUCUGGUAGUUACCUAGCUUGAGCAUGCAACUUGGAUCCCUACCUAUUAACUUUACAGUGUAUAUGCACUGAAAUUUAACUGCAUCUUAUGUUCUUUUUUUGUUGCUCUUGGCCAUCCAAUAUGUUAUCAUUGUUUUUUCUAUUUACUAAUCCAUAAGGUAUCCUGGCCAUUAUUAAUUGCAAGCCUUUUCUGCUUACAAACUUGUCAGAGUCUUGACUUUUCACUAUUUAGAUUACUGUGACAUGAAAGAAAAUGUUUUGCUGGAUGGUUGGUUUAUGUCAUCAUCUUACAGCAGAACAUUCGGCUAUUUGACCAUGCAUACUUGAUCGUGCUUUUGCUAAGUCUAUAGGUGUGAGCUGUUUUGCUCGUGGACAAUCUCAUGUGCUGGAUCUGCAUUGGAUGGCAGAUAAGCGGAGUGGGAGCUUGCAGCAGCAGCUUUAACCCCUUCCCAAUGAGCUUCAGGUCGUAGACGAGGUCCCGGCCGAGAAAAAACCUUGCUGGGUCCGAAGUUGUCCAGAUGCAUGGUGAAUGAUGGCUGAGAUAUGGUGCGAAAUGGAAUAGAAAGAAAAUUCUUGUGCCUGCAGGGAGCGGAACUGAAUGUGAUCGGGGGGUCACAGUCAAGAGAGUGCUUCCUUGGCAUGCUACCAAAGGGAAAUGGCACUAUCAUGGAAGUAAAAGAGAUGGCCAUUUAAUUAGGCUAGGCUCACAAGUAGCUGGAUUUUUUUGUGUGAAGAUGCAUCAGUGAUUUUUUUAGCAGUUUAUAAUGGUACUAGCCCCCUGUGCUUGUGGGUGCAGUUCCCUAAUUGCAGAAAAAUACCAGGUGCAAGUGUGGUGCUGGUUCUCUCCUUUGGCUCUUUGGUAUUGGUUCUCUCCUUUGUCUCCUUGUAAUAUGUGUUGGAUAUGUGUUCAUGGAUAUGUGUUGGAUAUAUAUGUGUUCAUGACUAUUGGUAACAUGUGUUGGAUAUGUGUUCA